GGGGCUGAUUCUGGAUUCGACGGGAUUUGCGAAACCCAAGGUGCAUGCCGAGGGGCGGUUGGCCUCGUAAAAAGCCGCAAAAAAUAGUCGCAAACAACGAAAACUACGCUUUAGCAGCUUAAUAACCUGCUUAGAGCCCUCUCUCCCUAGCCUCCGCUCUUAGGACGGGGAUCAAGAGAGGUCAAACCCAAAAGAGAUCGCGUGGAAGCCCUGCCUGGGGUUGAAGCGUUAAAACUUAAUCAGGCUAGUUUGUUAGUGGCGUGUCCGUCCGCAGCUGGCAAGCGAAUGUAAAGACUGACUAAGCAUGUAGUACCGAGGACGUAGGAAUUUCGGACGCGGGUUCAACUCCCGCCAGCUCCACCA
rnacentral:tmRNA from 2 species